rnacentral:rRNA from 1 species
GACGAACGCUGGCGGCGUGCUUAACACAUGCAAGUCGAACGGAAAGGCCCUGCUUUUGUGGGGUGCUCGAGUGGCGAACGGGUGAGUAACACGUGAGUAACCUGCCCUUGACUUUGGGAUAACUUCAGGAAACUGGGGCUAAUACCGGAUAGGAGCUCCUGCUGCAUGGUGGGGGUUGGAAAGUUUCGGCGGUUGGGGAUGGACUCGCGGCUUAUGAGCUUGUUGGUGGGGUAGUGGCUUACCAAGGCUUUGACGGGUAGCCGGCCUGGGAGGGUGACCGGCCACAUUGGUACUGAGAUACGGCCCAGACUCCUACGGGAGGCAGCAGUGGGGAAUAUUGCACAAUGGGCGGAAGCCUGAUGCAGCAACGCCGCGUGCGGGAUGACGGCCUUCGGGUUGUAAACCGCUUUCGCCUGUGACGAAGCGUGAGUGACGGUACUGGGUAAAGAAGCACCGGCUAACUACGUG